rnacentral:lncRNA from 1 species
ACUGAAGAUCAAGGUCUUAGACUCAAGACAAAAGAAGAAAAUUGAAGAAAAGAAGAGUCUAGGAACCGCCUGGCGGCAAAAUUGCACCGCUGGGCGGUCCAGUGCGAGGAGGAGGCACCUGGUGUGGACGCUGGGCAGAUUUGCGAUCAGAGGCAAACCGCCAGGCGGUGGCCCCCUGCCGCCGGGCGGUUGUCUGCUGGGCCUGGGCCUGUUUUUUGUGACACUCCUCAGCUAUAAAUAGCCCUGUUAUGAUUUCAUUCUCAUUCUUUUGACAGAAGAGGGCGGCCAAACCUAACUUUCACUCUCUGGAGAGGAUCUCUUGGAUGCUUAGGCUCCUUUUCAUCUUAUCUAGGGUUUGUUUUUCCAUUCUUCCAUUAUUUUCAUCUAGGUUCACCAUGACAAUGGUGAACUAAAUCCUUUUGUUAUUGGGAAAAUAAUGUAAUCUUUUGAAACUCUCUUUUAUUGAAACUCUUGUUUAUUUAUAUGAUUCUUCAUAUGCUUUGAUUAUCAAUUGUUGGGUUCUCAUCUGUGUUUAAUGCUUUUAUCGUUUAACUCAUUCGAUAAUUGUUGUUUUUCUCUAUUGAUACGGGAACGUACAGUACUGUCAUGAACUGAUGAGAAAUUCCUUGCUUAAGCAAUACCAACCUAGGGAUAGGGGGUAGGAUGAUCAAUUGUUUUUGCUUCUGUUCUUAAUGCGUUAUUAAUUGCUAGGGGAGGCUAGGGAUCGCAAGCCGGUAAUUAGUAAUAGGUGGCGGUACCAGGGGAAGUAUGGUUCGAAGAGUAUAACGCAGCGGAAUAAAACUAAGAGUAGCGUAUAAGCGUGUUCGGUCACCCUUUUAAAACAAGUUGGUCCUUUUUUGAAAAUCAAUUUUCUUUCAGAAAAUUUAUCGAACAGUUGAUAUGCGUAAAACUGUAAACAGUAUAGGGAAUAGAAAAAUCACACAAGUAAUUUUUAUACUGGUUCAAUUCAGAAGAAUCUACAUCCAGUCGUUAAUCACUAUAAACAGUGAUUAACAGUUCCACUAAAAAGAUGUUUGUCAGAUUACAAUUAUAGUGAAUGAAAGACAGAUAAAUAAAC